UACGAAGGGGGCUAGCGUUGUUCGGAAUCACUGGGCGUAAAGCGCACGUAGGCGGACUUUCAAGUCAGGGGUGAAAUCCCGGAGCUCAACUUCGGAAUUGCCUUUGAUACUGUUGGUCUCGAGUCCGGAAGAGGUGGGUGGAAUUCCUAGUGUAGAGGUGAAAUUCGUAGAUAUUAGGAAGAACACCGGUGGCGAAGGCGGCUUCCUGGACCGACACUGACGCUGAGGCGCGAAAGCUAGGGGAGCAAACGGG
rnacentral:rRNA from 1 species